rnacentral:rRNA from 1 species
AUUGAACGCUGGCGGCAGGCCUAACACAUGCAAGUCGAACGAGUGGCGGACGGGUGAGUAAUGUCUGGGAAACUGCCCGAUGGAGGGGGAUAACUACUGGAAACGGUAGCUAAUACCGCAUCCCAUCGGAUGUGCCCAGAUGGGAUUAGCUAGUAGGUGGGGUAACGGCUCACCUAGGCGUCGAUCCCUAGCUGGUCUGAGAGGAUGACCGGCCACACUGGAACUGAGACACGGGCCAGACGCCUACGUGAGGCAGCAGGGGGGAAUAUUGCACAAUGGGCGCAAGCCUGAUGCAGCCAUGCCGAGUGUAUGAAGAAGGCCUUCGGGUUGUAAAGUACUUUCAGCGAGGAGGCGUUACUCGCAGAAGAAGCACCGGCUAACUCCGUGCCAGCAGCCGCGGUAAUAC